CCUGGGAACUGCGNUCUGAACUGGGUAGCUAGAGUAUNUCAGAGGGGGGUAGAAUUCCACGUGUAGCAGUGAAAUGCGUAGAGAUGUGGAGGAAUACCGAUGGCGAAGGCAGCCCCCUGGGAUAAUACUGACGUUCAUGCUCGAAAGCGUGGGUAGCAAACAGGAUUAGAUACCCUGGUAGUCCACGCCCUAAACGAUGUCGAUUAGCUGUUGGGCAACUUGAUUGCUUAGUAGCGUAGCUAACGCGUGAAAUCGACCGCCUGGGGAGUACGGUCGCAAGAUUAAAACUCAAAGGAAUUGACGGGGACCCGCACAAGCGGUGGAUGAUGUGGAUUAAUUCGAUGCAACGCGAAGAACCUUACCUGGUCUUGACAUGUACGGAAGAACUCAGAGACGAGUUUGUGCCUUCGGGAGCCGUAACACAGGUGCUGCAUGGCUGUCGUCAGCUCGUGUCGUGAGAUGUUGGGUUAAGUCCCGCAACGAGCGCAACCCUUGUCAUUAGUUGCCAUCAUUUAGUUGGGCACUCUAAUGAGACUGCCGGUGACAAACCGGAGGAAGGUGGGGAUGACGUCAAGUCCUCAUGGCCCUUAUGACCAGGGCUUCACACGUCAUACAAUGGUCGGUACAGAGGGUAGCCAAGCCGCGAGGUGGAGCCAAUCCCAGAAAACCGAUCGUAGUCCGGAUUGCACUCUGCAACUCGAGUGCAUGAAGUCGGAAUCGCUAGUAAUCGCAGGUCAGCAUACUGCGGUGAAUACGUUCCCGGGUCUUGUACACACCGCCCGUCACACCAUGGGAGUGGGGGAUACCAGAAGUAGGUAGGGUAACCGCAAGGAGCCCGCU
rnacentral:rRNA from 1 species